UAGAUCUCCCUGAGGGUCGUGGUAGACCACCACGUUAAUAGGCCAGAUGUGAAAGCGUGGUAACACGUGCAGCUAACUGGUCCUAAUCACCCAAUAGGCUCACUC
rnacentral:rRNA from 1 species